UUGUUAUUUGCUUGGUUAGAAACUAUUUUUGAGCCUAAAUUGCUAGUUCAAAUUUGGCUCAUUUAGUAUUAAAUCAAGCCCGAACUAAGCCCAAGCUAAGCUCAAGCUGCUUAUUUACCACCUUAUAGCUUUCACAUAGCAUGAGUGCUUAGAGAUACAGGCCCUAUGUGACAGAGGAGUAUAAGCCAAAUCAGAGAGAGAGAGAGAGAGUUGGGAAUUUAGGGUUUGAACGCUAAUUUGUUUGAGUGUCUUCAUGGUCUGAACUGAAAAAGAUAGGCCUCUCCAAUGGAUGGAUAUAGGCUUGAGCAUUCUUUCCAUUGAGGUCAUAUAGCCUUCUAAUUGGUAUACCAAUUUGAAUGUGAAGCCAACCUCUCUAAGUUUGUCAUCGUUUUGGUUACACCUACAUCUGUGAGAUAGCUAGUCAUGGAUAUACAACUCCAAUAAGAUUCUCGUUAUUAUGCAUAAAGAUUUGAGCCAUUUAUGGAAUAGGGAGGAGCUGCAAAAAAUAGAUGAGCCGUUUUUGUAAAUUUCAAACCCUGGGGCUUCAGAACCAAGAUGGUAAGUUGAGAAUUUAUGGAAUUAGUAAAUUUAGUGAUAAUUAUUAUUAUUUUUUUUAAGAUAAUAAUCCGAAAAUUUACAAAAUUAGUCAAAGUAUUCCAUCAUCUUAGUCCAUAUUAUACUACCAAAGUGUCAGCAAAUUUAGUAAAUUCAAACGUCAUUUUCAUUAUUCCUUUUUUAAGAUAAUAAUUUGCAAACUCACGGGAUCAGUCAAAAUAUUGCUUGAUCUUGGUCGAUAUUACCAUAACUAUCAUCUUAACAUUUUAAUUUUACUAUUCAAUCACUAAAAUAUGUAUUUAAAAUAAAAAAAAUAGAAAGCUCUAAUCGUAAUAGUCGCCGAUAUCAAUUUAUAUCCAUUAAAAUAAUAAAAAUUAAGAUUUUAUGCAACAAAAUCAUGCUUUUGACCAAGAAGAAAACCUUGCCUAACAAUUAGAUUUAACCAGAGCUAGCGUGAAUCAUGCAUUGGAUGUUUAUGAAUUAAUAAAACACCAAUUCCUCAUGCCCUAUGUCAUGCUAGCUGGGCGUGGAAAAGUUUUACAACGUCGCCUCACUUAAUUGACUGUUCCACCAUGUGUAUGACUCUUACCAUUCUUAACUACAUCAGCAUGUAAAAGCAUGGUUUGAAAUUUUGGCUAAA
rnacentral:lncRNA from 1 species